CAAAGAAAACAGCUGCAUAUGGGAACCGUGCAGAACUCUAGUCUGAGUGACCAGAAUGAACUAGAGCUGGUGGACUGAAAUUCUGUGGUCUUGGCAAGUGGGUCCAGAACUGCUGCUGUAUUUCUUCACCAGCCAAAGGACUAAGCAGACUCUUUAAGAAAAGCAGGGCCAAAGGAUCUCAGAGAAAUGGAGCCUUGGCUGUGAUUGAACCAUAGCUGAGCAGUGUCCCACUUCUGGAUUUGAGCUAAUCAUGUGAGCUUUAAUAAUCCACCUAAUGUUUAAGAUAUUUAAAUUGGACCUCCUCUUUUGAUUGACUACAUCAAACUGAUACUUGCCUUAUACAUAUUUGUAAACUCAUAAUCCUAUAUGACCAGUACCUUUGUAACUCUUUCGUGUUGAAUGAACCAAUGAAUAAAUAAACCAGACCUUU